GAAGUUUCCAUUGGUAGAGUAUGUUGAGUCAAGUUAUAUUCUUUAUACAUAAGGCACCUCGUUAAUUUAGUUUAUUGGUAUUUAUUAAAUUAUACGAAAGGGCUUAUUUUUUUAAGUAUUUUGGCGAGACUCUUGAGGGAACAGGACAAGCUGAAGACUACAGGCUGAAGCUGUCCCCUAAGAAAGCGAGCCAACAAUACGAAGUAUUGUAAAUAAAGAAGCCAGUAA
rnacentral:ncRNA from 1 species